GGGGCUAUAGCUCAGCUGGGAGAGCGCUACAAUGGCAUUGUAGAGGUCGGCGGUUCGAUCCCGCCUAGCUCCA
rfam:gamma proteobacterium HTCC5015 scf_1106129323629 genomic scaffold, whole genome shotgun sequence.